rnacentral:rRNA from 1 species
UGGGGGAUUUUGCACAAUGGGCGCAAGCCUGAUGCAGCGACGCCGCGUGAGGGAUGAAGGCCUUCGGGUUGUAAACCUCUUUCGCUGGGUUGAAAGGCCAUGCUUUGGGUGUGGUUGAUUUGAACUGGUAAAGGAGUACCGGCUAACUACGUGCCAGCAGCCGCGGUAAUACGUAGGGUACUAGCGUUGUCCGGAUUUAUUGGGCGUAAAGGGCUUGUAGGUGGUUUGUCGCGUCUGUCGUGAAAUCCUGUGGCUUAACCAUGGGCUUGCGGUGGGUACGGGCAGGCUUGAGUGCGGUAGGGGAGACUGGAAUUCCUGGUGUAGCGGUGGAAUGCGCAGAUAUCAGGAGGAACACCGGUGGCGAAGGCGGGUCUCUGGGCCGUUACUGACACUGAGGAGCGAAAGCGUGGGGAGCGAACAGG